ACUGUACAUUGAUUUUUCCAUGUGCUACUAUGUGAAAAGGUGAAGUCUUCACACUUGACUCUUAUUUCCUUUCUUUCUUUUCUAAAGACACCCAAAAUGUACAGCAUAUGAUGGUAAUUCGCAUCCAGUAUGAGAGAGUUUGCCAGGAAUGUUUGGCCAAUAUACAGCUAUGCAAGAAUAAAUUGUUGAGUUUAAAAGUUUGCACAGAGAAAGAGGCUGAAAAGGUUGUGAAUCCUGACUUCUUCAGAAUGGUUGGGAAGCUGCAGUGUCGGUUUGAACGAGAGCUGGAACAGAUGGAUCGAGACUUUGAAGAUCUGGCUAAAUGUGUUGAACAGAAUUGCAAAGACUUGUACAAAUAUUUCCAGCAAGUUAUUGUCCUCUGGGAUGAACAUCAACUCAAUCUGUCCCAGCAAGAAAAUGAACUUCAGGUGAAACUGAAUGAGUGCCGGCAGAAACAUGAAAACCUAAAUCAGAUAAGGGAAGCUAAUCUGGAUAUAACUUUGGACAAAAUGAGAACACAAAGCUCUGAAAAUAAGCUGACAAAUCUUUUGGGAAAGGCCUUUGCUUUUCUGGAUGUCAUUAAAGCUGGUGACCUGAUAUUUGACAGGUAUGAGGCCUUUCACCAAGAUCUAGUGAAGAUAGUAACAUCCUACCCAGAUGCUAUACUGAAGGAAUUGAUUUCUUAUAGUGCAUCCAUAGGCCAGUAUUUUGGCGUGAAGGAAGUCUAUAAACAGAUUAUUUUCAGACGGAGGUAACUUUUCUCCAGAAGAGGCAGAGUUCUUCUGUAAGCGUCUGGACAAAGAAUCAGGAUGCAUUGAAUUCACUGAAGGCUUAAUCAUGAUUGACAUGGAGAAAAUGGAGUCAAACUACUUAGAACAAAUUUCAUGACCCUUUCUUCAGUAACCAACAUGUUUUCCUGAAACUGGUUUCAUUCUGGAGAAAAGCGUCUUAUGAAAAAGAACGAUUCCUGUUGAAGAAUUAGCCUGAGACACUUAAAAACAUUUCUUCUUGAUAAUGUAUGUGAUCCAACCAUGUAUGGUCCAAAAUCUUUUAAAGAUAGAAUUCUCUCUCUCUCUCUCUCUCUCCAUGUUUCAGCUUUUAAAGCGCUUAUUUAAUUGAUUAAAAGAUCAGGGCAUUAUCCCAAUGUAUCUGCUGUGUUAGUCGGCUUAAAAAUAUAGUGGUUUCAAGAUUAAACUACAUGGGUUUAUGAAGGGGAUGGUUUGAAGAGAUACCAUGAUCUUGGUAACUAAUUGACCAUUCAUUAUCAGUCGGAAAUAGGUCAA